CUACCAUGCAAGUCGUACGAGAAAGGGUCUUUCGGGACCCGAGUAAAGUGGCGCACGGGUUGAGUAACACGNUGGAUAAUCUGCCCUGCAGUUGGGAAUAACCCACCGAAAGGUGUGCUAAUACCGAAUAAUGCUAAUAGACCUUGGUCGGUUAGCCAAAGAGAGCCUCUGCUUGCAAGCCCUCGCUGUGGGAUGAGUCCGCGUACCAUUAGCUAGUUGGCAGGGUAAUGGCCUACCAAGGCGACGAUGGUUAGCUGGUCUGAGAGGAUGAUCAGCCACACUGGAACUGAGACACGGUCCAGACUCCUACGGGAGGCAGCAGUGAGGAAUCUUGCGCAAUGGGGGAAACCCUGACGCAGCAACGCCGCGUGAGUGAGGAAGGUCUUCGGAUCGUAAAGCUCUGUCAGUUGGAAAGAAACGCUUAUGUGCUAAUACCACAUAGGUUUGACGGUACCAACAGAGGAAGCACCGGCUAACUCCGUGCCAGCAGCCGCGGUAAUACGGGGGGUGCAAGCGUUGUUCGGAAUUAUUGGGCGUAAAGAGCGUGUAGGCUGCCUGAUGUGUCAGAUGUGAAAGCCCUGGGCUUAACCCAGGAAGUGCAUUUGAAACUGUCAGGCUUGAGUAGGGGAGGGGGAAGCGGAAUUCCUGGUGUAGAGGUGAAAUUCGUAGAUAUCAGGAGGAACACCGGUGGCGAAGGCGACUUCCUGGCCCUAUACUGACGCUGAGACGCGAGAGCGUGGGUAGCAAACAGGAUUAGAUACCCUGGUAGUCCACGCUGUAAACGAUGUUCACUAGGUGUUGGGGGUAUUGACCCCCUCAGUGCCGGAGCUAACGCGUUAAGUGAACCGCCUGGGGAGUACGGUCGCAAGACUAAAACUCAAAGGAAUUGACGGGGGCCC
rnacentral:rRNA from 1 species